rnacentral:rRNA from 1 species
UGAGGAAUAUUGGUCAAUGGGCGAGAGCCUGAACCAGCCAAGUCGCGUGAGGGAAGACGGUCCUACGGAUUGUAAACCUCUUUGUCGGGGAGCAAUAAAGCGUACGCGUACGCAGAUGCGAGUACCCGAAGAAAAAGCAUCGGCUAACUCCGUGCCAGCAGCCGCGGUAAUACGGAGGAUGCGAGCGUUAUCCGGAUUUAUUGGGUUUAAAGGGUGCGCAGGCGGAAAGUGCAAGUCAGCGGUCAAACGACGGGGCUCAACCCCGUCUCGCCGUUGAAACUGUCUUUCUAGAGUGAGCGAGAAGUAUGCGGAAUGCGUGGUGUAGCGGUGAAAUGCAUAGAUAUCACGCAGAACUCCGAUUGCGAAGGCAGCAUGCCGGCGCUCAACUGACGCUCAGGCACGAAAGCGUGGGUAUCGAACAGGAUUAGAUACC